ACGCCGUGACGGGCUUCUCUGUCGCGAGAUAUAUCACGGUCAGUAUACACGUGGCCCGCAAUGUCCACGCCAUGUUCUCGCUGUGUGUUUGUCGUCAUAGGUUCAAGCUGCGACAACUUCUAAUGCGCAUAAUUACAGCUAACCAUAGAAAUGGAUUAAUCAGGAUGACACACACAUACCUGACUGAGUUAAAUUUUAUUUUCAGUGUCAAUCGCCAGACUGGAGGACACGGAGAAUUAUCACGUUUUCGAGGCAGCGUCGUGCAACGACUGAGUGGUUACCGGUCCUCAGUUGAACAUAGCAAGAGGUGCACAGAGAUAUACUGCCAAUCACGUCGCUAAAGGACUCGGAGAAUCAACAUGUUUUCGAGGCAACGCUCGCCAGCUGAGCAUACCAAAAAGUUUAUUUUUAAUGUAGGUAUUAUUUAUUAUACUAUAGCACACAUAUGUUAUGAAUCUAUGUUAUGAAUCUGCUGGUGUUUUCUAGCAUUAGCGGUAUGU